rnacentral:autocatalytically_spliced_intron from 1 species
CGGUGGAAGUAAUUCCAUUAGACUGUUAAACAAAAUUAGAAACUUCUUGAAACAAAAAUACUAGUCAAAAUCGGUGAACGCCUAGGCAGUAAUGCAAGGUCAACACCGAGGGAAGUCCGACGUAACGUCGGACCCUGUAACGACUUGUGCGAAAGCACAGAUAUCAGCUUGCGGAUAUUCCGGGUACUUAAACUGAUAUAUAAAACUAGCCCCCGAAGAACAUCGGGGUGAAGGUAUAGUCUGAUCCUGUGAGUAAUCACAGA